ACACUACAUCUCUUAUUAUAUAGAAUAUAUAUCUUUCCAUGUCCUAUUAUCUUUGUUUCUCUAGAGAAUCCUAUUACACCAGCUGUAGAUAUGGAAGUGGAUUGGAGGAUGUGGAUUUACUAUUUAAAAAUUAACCUCAUUUUCCCAGUUAAAAAACUAUCAGGUAUUCUAAUAUCAUCCUUUUAUAGAUGAAGAAACUCAGGCUGAUUUCCCAAGGCCAUUCAGUUGAAGGAAUGUCACUAACUUGUAUCAAUUCUCAGCCCAGUAGUGUCACUGCCUUGCCACUGUGUGUUGGGAUUCUUUUUUCUCAAAUAUCCAUAGGAGCACAACCAGCUUCUGACUCAAAAUGACUAAAUGGCUUUAUUAAGUGUUUGAAGAUAUAAGGUUAAGUAGGCACUCAUAUAAAUAAUAGCUUUAUUAUAUUUUUGUGUCCCCAAACUUUGCCACUUCAUAACUGGGCUGUGAACCCAGUUCACAGUAGCUAAGGAGACCUUAUUCUUUAUAGCUACUAUGCAACAGCUGAACAGUAUCACCCUGGCUCUUGAAAGCCUAUCAAGUAAACUAAACUAGUGAAAUAAUAUUAACUUUAUUUGGAUUAUGAGAAUUAUUUUUGACCAACUGAAUAUUUUGACCAGAAUUAAUGAUAUUUCAAAGUUUAAUUUUCUGAGCUGUCUGCUAUUUUUAUGACCACUGUUAUGAGUUGUAGUGCCCUGUCCUAUCUAUAGUCCAUUAAUAAUGGGACUCUGGAGAAACGUCUGAUAGGUCUUGCUUAAUUCCAUGUACUCUCACAAUUUUCCUCAAGGAUGCACUAGGAACACUGGAAAAUGCAUUAAAAUGUGUUUUCAGAUAUCUGGAAGUUGUUUCUAGCUCAAUGUAUUUCAUUAAAAAGUCCACAAGAUAGGUAAUACAGAGCACAUGCAGUUCAGUCAGUGAACCCACAAUAACAUGACCUGAUGAACAUGCAAAGACUUUUAUGUUCCACAUUUUAGGGCUCUUAAAUUGUGGUGGAUACCAUGAUGCGUAGGCUAGAUUGCCUCUUUAAUGAAGGACUUGUUGGGAGUGCUGUUGGCAUACAGCCAUAGUUGUCAGCCCCUCAAGGUUUGCCUCCACUGUAGAUAGCCAUCUUUCCCAAUACCCUUUCUCAGAAGGCCCUCUUGCUGCAUACUAGGAAAAAUCUGAUAUUGGUCACUUUUAAAUCCAGAGUUCCACGUGGUUUAGGCCAAGUCUGUUUUGGGACUGACCCUGAAGUUUGACUUUUCUUUUCCCCCAUUUCUGCUUCCUGUCAUUUAAUUCCCUGAAUAUUGAUUCUAAGAACACUCCUUGGGAAAGAUAUUUUGUGCGUGUGUGUGUGUGUGUCCACGCACGCGUGCACGCUCACGUGUACGUGUUGCUGAGGAUCAAACCCAGUGCCUUGCACAUGCUUGAAGAGCACUCUACCACUGAGCGACAUCCCCAGCCCACAGGACACUCUUUAAUAAACAUCUUUCACCUGAAACUUUAUAUCAGAGUCCAAUAUCUGGAACUGAGUCUGAUUUUUUUAUGUGGAGCAUAAAUAUUUAUCUUUUUAUUAUUAUUAGUUGAAAUAUUGUCUAAUAAAUGAAAUAACUGCAUGUUGGGCAAGGCAGUACACAGAAAAAUGCAUUUAAAAAUCCCAACCUGUUUUUCAGGAGAAUGGAAAGUAGUGUACACUUUCAACGUGACAACAAAUUCCUACUCCAAUAUUGAUCAGAGUUUCCUCAUCAGCCACGUGCCACCUCAGACCUCAUCUGUAGAAACUGGGACAGUUUGCACUGUGUCUCCUCUAGGCAAUCCUGCUGAGAUACCAUGGCCAGACAGAGCCACAUGACUCUGGGUCUUGCAGAGGAGUCAGAACUCUGGUAAAGAGGUGCUUGCUGAAGUACUGGGUGAGGCUGGAAGGGAAGGAGGGUGGUAGGUUAUCUGACUCAUCUCUUUGUCUUCUGUUUCUCCAGCAAAUUGCAAAUGCCUUGAAGUAGGAACAAUUUCUUAUUCAUCUUUGUAGUUUUAGUGCUUAUCUGUAUCUGGAAAAUAGUAGACAGUUGUCUUAAUGUAAGAUCUUUCAGAUAGAAGCUUUGAGACAAAGACUUGAGAAAAUAGGUUUGAAGGAACAGGAAACAUGGGUACAAAAGUGGAAAAGUGAAAAGAGCAGGGAAGCAGCACAAAAGAAGGGUAUAUUAUCAGGAAAAUUUGGCCAUGUGUGGGCUGGGUUGUCAGAGAUUAAUCCUACACGAAAACUCAUAAUCACAGGAACCUCAGAGCUGUCCUAUCUGCGGUCCAAGGGAAAUGAAAUAUUUAUGUUCCAGCUUUUGAGAUUGGUGAAGGUUGCUUCUUAGAAAUGAUAAGCCCCAGAAUUCACACCUGCUCUGCUAGGAAAAAAACCAUUUCUGGGUUUACAAGAAAGUCCUCAGAUAAAGAGAGGCAGGCAUUUGCAGGUGGCAGUAGAGCCAACACACACUGAUGGGGAUAAGGCCCCAGGAACUCAAUGAUAGCAUCUGCUAUGGUGGCUAAAGAAAUAUUCUUGAAACUCAAUCAACAGCUGAAAAGGAACGUCUGUCUUCAAAAUAUGAAAUUAAUUGUGUAAACAUAUUCAGAAAGUUCCAUCAGGCCCUUGUUCAAGUGACUGCUAACCAAAAUAACUGACAACCAAUUAUUGCAGACUCAAUUUUCUGUCUCCUGGGAGAUGAGACUUCUGGAUAAACUCCAUAUUUAUGAUGACAUAAAAAAAACAAAACAAAACAAAACAAAAAACAAGAGAGAGAAGUUCACUACAAAGAGACUACCACUAAACACAGGCAGGGUUUAGGGGAAGGAUGGACUAUGAGCAACGGAAAGGGAGGGACUAGAAGAUGAAAGGACAAAGAAAAUAGGCACUCUGCCUAUUAAAGACAGGGAUCCCCUUUGCACUAGACAAGGGCCAAGGGGGCAUGUUGGCCAGGAUGCAGGGGAUGGUGGGUGUUUUGGACAGCCACCCUUGAGGGUCAAGGGAUUCUAAAAAGCUUUAAAUGGAAGUAAUUUCUGCAAUUUUGUUCUAGUUUUUUUUUACUGGGGGAGUUGGAUGAUUGCAGCAGGUGUAAGUAAG
rnacentral:lncRNA from 1 species